rnacentral:rRNA from 1 species
UACGGGGGGGGCAAGCGUUGUUCGGAAUUACUGGGCGUAAAGGGCUCGUAGGUGGCCAACUAAGUCAUACGUGAAAUCCCUCGGCUUAACCGGGGAACUGCGUCUGAUACUGGAUGGCUUGAGGUUGGGAGAGGGAUGCGGAAUUCCAGGUGUAGCGGUGAAAUGCGUAGAUAUCUGGAGGAACACCGGUGGCGAAGGCGGCAUUCUGGACCGGCAUUGACGCUGAGGCGCGAAAGCCAGGGGAGCAAACGGG